rnacentral:lncRNA from 8 species
UGUUUACAUAAAUAUAAACUGUAUGUAAAUAUGAUAUGUAUUAAUUUAACUGAAUAUUAAUGUGAAUAAUCAUUGGUCUAUGGACCUGGAAUACAGAACUGUUCAUUUUCAAUAAUUUGCGUGUAUAAGGUAUUUUUAAAUGUCUUUCUCUCUGGUGACAGCGAAUGUGCGCAUUGUUGGUGGGGGUACUCGUGGGAGAGUGGAGGUGAUGUGGUUGAACCAGUGGGGUACGGUGUGUGACGACAGCUUCGACACAUUGGAUGGGACAGUGCUCUGCAAGAUGCUUGGGUACCAAAGAGCCUCUUCAGUCUACACGGCAAGCCCCGGAGUGGGUAAGAUCUGGUUUGAUGACCUGCGCUGCACAGGCACAGAAUCCAGUGUGUUUGACUGCCCCCACAACGGCAUGGGCAUCAACAAUUGUCAACACAAUGAGGACGCUGGGGUGCAGUGUGUGUGAGUGUGUCCUGGAUCCAAAGGAGAGACUCCUGAACUCCAUCGAAAAGACUGGAGGAGAGAUGCAUAGAGAGAUACACACACACACACACACACACACACGUAGAAAUAUUAACGUGUCAAAGACUGUAGUUAAUGGUAUUGAGACUUGUUGCAUCUACUUUGUCUCAUCUUAUUAAAACAUUAAUAACUUAUAGGCAUUUCAAUAAACAUGGCAUUUAACUAACAUGAAGCUAACUUAUUACUACCUGUAAUAAUGUACCCUGGAUGAAAGUUUAUACAGAAAAAACUGAAUUGCAUUUUGUAAACCAGUUUCACCAGUUUGAAGUAAAACAGUGAAAAAUCAGACAAAAUGAGUCAGAUGCAGUUUGUUUAAAUGUUGUGAAAUGCUGUGUGACAUCUACUUUCACCUCUUUAUCCCACUUGAUCCCAGUCCUCCACCCACUCACCAUCACCCUCUUACACAUACACACACAAACACACCAAGACAUCAUUCUGCUUAGGCCAGCAUGGUUAAAAGUCAGUCUGAAGGACAAGCACCUCCUUCCUGACAGACAUACAGAAUUGGGGUCAACACUUCUAUAUGACACUGCCAGUCAGUCAUGUUACAUUAGAUAAAGUGAAGUUAAAACCUCUUGGGGCUAUGUGGGACGCUAGCGUGCCACCCGUGGUGCACCCUAUCAACAGCAGGUGCAUUUCAAGAGCGGCAAAUUUGAAACCAAAUAAAUGUCAAAAUUCAAAUUUUUCAAACAUACAACUAUCUUACACCCUUUGAAAGAUAAACAUCUCCUUAAUCUAACCACGUUGUCCGAUUUCAAAAAGGUUUUACGGCGAAAGCAUAAAGUUAGAUUAUGUUAGGAGAGUACAUUGACAAUAGCUGUGUGUAAUGUUUUGUCAAUUCAAAGACAGGCGUCACCAAAACCAUAAAACCAGCUAAAAUGAUGCACUAACCUUUUACAAUCUCCAUCAGAUGACAGUCCUAGGACAUUAUGUUAGACAAUGCAUGCAUUUUUAGUUCUAUCAAGUUCAUAUUUAUAUCCAAAAACAGCGUUUUACUAUGGCGUUGAUGUUCAGGAAAUCGUUUCCCUUCAAUAACCGGCAGUCAAGUCAGCAC